AACUGAUACUACCUGCGGGAACCUGCGGAGGGAUCAUUACAAGUGACCCCGGUCUAACCACCGGGAUGUUCAUAACCCUUUGUUGUCCGACUCUGUUGCCUCCGGGGCGACCCUGCCUUCGGGCGGGGGCUCCGGGUGGACACUUCAAACUCUUGCGUAACUUUGCAGUCUGAGUAAACUUAAUUAAUAAAUUAAAACUUUCAACAAUGGAUCUCU
rnacentral:misc_RNA from 1 species